GCUUAACACAUGCAAGUCGAACGGAGCGCUUAUGACUGAGUUUUCGGACAACUGAUUAAGUUGCUUAGUGGCGAACGGGUGAGUAACGCGUGAGAAACCUGCCUUUCAGUGGGGGACAACAGUUGGAACCGACUGCUAAUACUGCAUAAUGUUAUUUGGGGGCAUCCUCGAAUCACCAAAGCUUUAUGUGCUGAAAGAUGGUCUCGCUUCGGGUUAGCUAGAUGGCGGGGUAACGGCCCACCAUGGCGACGAUCAGGAGCCGGUCUGAGAGGAUGAACGGCAACAUUGGGACUGAGAUACUGACCAGACUCCUACGGGAGGCAGCAGUGGGGAAUAUUGGGGAAAGGGGGAAACCCUGCCCCAGCAACGCCGCGUGAAGGAAGAAGGCCUUCGGGUUGUAAACUUCUUUUACCAGGGACGAAGAACGUGACGGUACCUGGAGAAAAAGCAACGGCUAACUACGUGCCAGCAGCCGCAGUAACAC
rnacentral:rRNA from 1 species